rnacentral:lncRNA from 1 species
ACACAGGAAAAUUUUCCCAUCAUAAAAUACAUAUACCAGAAUUACUUUGGUGCUCGAUUUGACUCGAGUAGAUUCCAGUUUUUCUGUGAAUUAAUGAAACAAGGUGUAUUAUUUUCUAACUUAUUAGUUGAAUUUGGAAAAUUUCAUCUUAUUCUUUGUGAAAUUUUGACAAGGAAGCAUAAGUGGAUAUUAAUUUUGCACCAUGUCUAGUGGUCUAUUGAAUUGAUUAACUGACUUGACGAUUAAAAAGUUCCCUCUAUACCAGAGAUUGCAAAAAUGAUAAAACACACUUGUAUGAAACACAAAAUUACUUUAUUAAAAAAAUGUUAUGUGCACAUGUCUCACAAUAAAAAAUCAAAGUUGCUUCUAGAAAAAUAAUUUUUUCUAAAUGUUCUCCAGAGGAAAAACAAAAUUCAAAUCCUGCUGUUCUAAGGAGUUCUUUACUUAUGAGGAUGGUCUCCUUCGUGCAGCCCGAGAGUGAUAUACGAAGAGAUCAGAUUUUUUCUACAGAAAACUGCUCAUGAACAAGCUGUUGUCAGACCAUAUGAACUGUGGCUUCGGUGGUUCACUUGCUUCGUCUCUUUUUGUUGUCUUUUCCUUUGCCUUUCUUGUUUUUGUUCAGCUUUCCUUGCAAAUGGAGCACUUUGCUUCCUACUUUUUCCAAUUUUCCUCUGUUCUUCUUGGAUCGUCCUUUUACUUUCAGAGUUGGUCCACUGGUUCCACCUGCUUCAUUGUCACUCUCUGGUUCAGAUUUUACCUAGAGUAUUUUCAAACCACAAAACUAUUAGACACCUAUUUAAACAAUGAGUACAGUGUUCAAGAGAUCAGUUCCUCUGCAUGGAAAAUUUUUCAACACACUCUGAAGAGUAUUUUGGUAUAAAGCAACUGAAUCUCCCUUCAGUUUGAAAAUGCAUGGUUCUGCAACUGUUUUACAAGAAAGAUUAAGAGAGAGAUAUGAUAUGAUUCAAUGUCAUUUUUGGUGAUGGUCAUGCUAUGAAGAAUGUGACUACAGGAUGGAGAGGAUGCAGCUUCAUGCCAGCGCCAGGUGGGUAUUUUUGCCGUGAUGGAGAAAUGAAUAUUUUUUGCUCGCCGCCACCUUUUUUAUUUUCUCCAUGAUGUAUGGCACUGAUGGCUGGAUUGUUUGCACAUCACAUUUGCCCAAUUAGCCAACUUCAAGAAAAAUUAGAGAGCCAUGAUUUCAAAAGUAUCCAUGUAAAAAUAUGUGAUAAUUAAUUAUAUAAACAGGCAGGCAAAUCAAAUAAGAUGCAGAUCAAACCAUUUCUUACUGGAAUAUGUGAUAUAUAAUAAAUACACAUAGAAAUAACAUUUUUAAACCAAUACAUUAGCAUUUUUCGCUGAGUAGCAUUUCCGAGAAAAUCUCCAAAAGGUUGCAUUGGGGAGAUUGUACACUAAGUAAUUCCAGGAUUUCCAUAAUUUCUUUAUUUCCUGAUUCUUUGACUUUUGUUCUAACUGCAAAAUUUUCGAAUUCGCCGACUUUUCCUGAUCUUUGAACAUAACUUCCACUUAGACUUUCUUCCUUCAUAUUCAGGGUGUCUACGAAAACAGACUGACCAAAAAUCAGUACUUUUACUGUAAAUUUCAGUACAUUCCCAAGAAAUUCAGUACUUCCUCAAUAGAAAAAUUCAGUACUUUUUCAGUACCUCCAAUGGACGAACUUCGAAAAAGUUUAAAAAUUUCAAUUCCUCGCUUAAAUUGCGACAAAAAUGACAAAAAUGACAAAAAAAAAAAUUCCGGACCUUCUUGCGGAAUUUCCGCACUUUUUCACUACUUCCGGACCGCGAUUAAAAAAUCAGUACUAUUUCCUGCCUUUCCGGAAAUUCUGGACUUGUAGACACCCUGAUAUUUUAAAAACAAAUGUUGUUGACUUAAUAAACGGCAACAUGUUCAUCACAAUUUGACGUAAGAAAUAAAAUCAAACCACUAAAAAAAGCGGUAAUGGACUCAUUAUUCACCUCAGUGUUUACUUCAGCCAUCUCCUCAUCAUCAUUUCCAUCUUCCUCCAUUUUUCAGCCUUCUCUACUUUCACCUUAGCCGGAGCUCCUCCCUCUUGGCCUGCCUUCAUCGCCUUCCUCAGCUUCUUCUUCUGCAUUUUCUUCAAUCGAGCUUCCCUCCUCUUGACGGAUGUUGGCACAGAGCCCUCAGCAGUUUUGAGGAUGGCAAAAAGUUCUUCCGCUGUUUUUGAAUGUUUUGCUUCAAAGCCACCGGACAAGAUUAUAAGAUUCUGUAAAUGGAGAUAGGGUCAUAGAAUAAAGAGACUAACGUCAACAGAAGCGAAAGCCCCCGCCAUUUUCAUGUCAACGAAGCAUACCGAAAGGAGGCUGUUUCAAUAAGUACUGUUUACGUUUGCGGUAGGUCGGCGUUUUGGAGAGGUCGAAUAAUAACGGAUACAUACGUUUUAAGGAAUUGAAAGAGUUCUCUUUUAACUUAUUUAUCGUUAAAUCAAAGAAGUACUAUAAAUUCGCUUAAAAUUUAAUGUUUCUUUCCACUUUUAUGUAGGUAACCUCGAAAUUGGUUUCAAUAAGGACAGACUCUGAGCAGAAAAAUGUUAACAUUGGUUCUUACGGAGCUUUCGCUUCUGUUGACGUAGUCUAUUUAUUCUAUGAUAGGGUGCAAGAUAUUAGAAAGGAACUAAGAAUAAAAUAUUUUAAUUUCUUACGAAUGUUGUAUGUUUUGACUAAUUAACAGACAUUUGCAACACUCUACUAAGGUUAUGAUAAAAUAUUGACAAGGCCCUUCGAAAAAAUUUCUGACUCCUUGAAACACUUCUGCACAAAUCUUAAUAUAAGCUAUGACCUGUUAUCUGUAGGACAGUAUAUUCCAUCUCAUAAUCUAUGUUUACUUGAUGAAGAUUAAUAUAUAUAUUUUUUUUAAGAUGCCAAGAAUGUAUUCUUAAUGUUGCAUACGCAUUUCACUGACAGUUAGUGCACCCGCUUUUUAUUUCUGCCUCUGAUUAAUCCAAAAAGUUCAUAACAUAAGUCAGAUUGAGUGCUGCAACUGAUUUCAGACAAAAAAUAGCUUUGGUAUUCUUCCAACCUAAAACUGACAAGUCAGAGGGAAUCAUAGGCAGUAGAAACAAGAUCAGAUAAUUGAAAAAGGUAUGAUGACCAUUCAUCACCAAAUAAACACCACCAGAAAACCUUGGUGACACCAACAUCUCCAGGUUUCCAUAUGUUUUUGGUAAUCGCAUUUGACAGAUCAUUGAAAAAGAAUAUAUGUAUCACAGCCUCAUGCCAUGUCUUUGAUACUUAUAGAUAAAGCACUUAUUAAAUAGUGUAGUUCCUUUGCAAAUUACAUUAAAAGCAAAGUGCAGAACACAUUCAAAACGUUAAUAAUACCUCUUUUUAUUAUUGGAGAGAAAUCUGUGGGUGAAAUUAUAGAAUGAAUAAAUGCAGUGAAUGUUGUCGUUCAUUAUGUUUCUCAAAGGGCAAUAUCUUACAGAGCCUCCAAACCUGACAAUUGGGCAAAUUCUAGUAAUUAUAAAAUUUGUAAGGGCUCUUUUCUACAUACCUACAAACUGGAGCUCUCAAACGGACUUGAAUUCUUCAAUUUCUCAGCUAGUUUUGACAAAAUUCUUUGACUAUCUCAAGAUCUGAUCUAUAAUGUGUCACAAAUACAUAGAUGACCUUCAAAGAUUGUCGGGCUAACGAUUUUUAAUGGGCAAAAGUCAACAAUUACCUCAAUGAGUCUCUUUGAAGCUUUAAAUUUUUACAGGGAAAAGAGUCUUAAGGUGAUUCGAUGGACGCCAUAUUUUGUGUCAGAACGGCAUGCGAUAUAUCGCAUCAAUUGGUUCCAUUUUUUCAGCUACUCGUUGUUUUUUCUCCAAUUUUGAGAUCGCAAUUCUGUUGUCAGGAGACUAAAGCACUCACUUACCAAUUUUAACAAAGAAACUCGACGUAAUAAAGGCGUGGUUUUUUUUAAGAGAGAAGACAUCGCAUUCGAUACUGAUAUCGAAACUGCACUCGAAUGCGAUAUUUUCUCUCUGAAAAAACCACGCCUUUUUUACGUUGAAUUUCUUUGUUAAAAUUGGUAAGUGAGUGCUUUAGUCUCCUGACAACAGAAUUGCGAUCUCAAAAUUGGAGAAAAACAACGAGUAGCUGAAAAAAUGGAACCAAUUGAUGCGAUAUAUCGCAUGCCGUUCUGACACAAAAUAUGGCGUCCAUCGAAUCACCUUAAGAUAUAAACAUUAGGAAAACUUCUUCUUAAAUGCUCAGAUAGUCAUAAUUCUCAUUAGGAAAUCUGGCACUAGAUACACUUUUGCGUGCACACAGUGAUCCAUUAUGCGACACCCUGCAUGUUAAAUUUCCCUACCUCGGCCAAAUGGAACAUUUUCUUCACCCUCCUUUCAAAAAAACUUGAUCUGUAAGUAAGUAAGUUAAAGUAAGUAAGUAAGUAAGUAAGUAAGUAAGUAAGUAAAGAGUAAGUAAAGUAAGUAAAUAAGUAAGUUCACCACAAUAAAGGGAAUGUUACUUAAAUUCCAUUUUCUUGAAAACCCGUAAACUCAUAUCACUUAAUGCGAGUCAAGUCCAGGAGGCAUAAAUUUUAGUUGCACAUAAAUGACAAUUGUAAACUCUCAACACUCACCACAAAACUUUUCUUUGUUUUCUGGGCACAAACGAACAAAUUGCGGCUCGAGACACUUCUCCAACAUAAGUUUAUGUACAUCAGAUGUAUCACUGCGGGCAAGGACAUCCUUUAAAAUUUCAAUCCAUCUAUCCUGUUUCAAUUUAUCUGUUGCUAGUCGCUGCUCUAAAAUUUUUUUCCGCGCUGCUUCAUCAUGAUUAGUUUUUUUCUUGGGCUCCUUAGUCUUCUUAUCAGCUUUCUCUUUCUUUCUGUAAAAUCAAUGGUCAAGUUAUUAUCUGAGUUGAAAUAAGAUAGUACAAGUGCUGGGAAUUAAUACAGGGUGUCUAGUUAUUUUUAAUUUUGGGAAAUUC